GGGGAGAACGCCGCGGAGGUAGUCGUUACCCGUCUCUGUUUCGCUUAGACGCAGUUGCUUUCCUGGUGUGAGGAGGUCUUCUAGCAGCUGCCCUGCUUUUGUGCUUUCAGCGCUGGUACUGUGAUGUACAGCCCUGAAGAGUUCCCCCCUAUUCAUUUUUUUCCCCUGCAGAAAUGAAUCUCAUUAUGGAAAGUGCAAAGCUUUAUAAAGGGAUAAAGUUUGAAUUUUAUGGAGUGUAAUUUUGUGUAUGAAUCACAUUUUUAAUAUAUAGUUUUCAUAAAGAAAGCUAGUAAAUUCUGGUACAUUCUGUGUAAACAUUAAUUCUAUUAGUAAUAUAGUGUUAGGCAUUUGUGAUAACAAAAGAGCUGUCUUGAUAAAUUGAUUCCUCAUUUAUCAUGACUGAUACCAU
rnacentral:lncRNA from 1 species